rnacentral:lncRNA from 1 species
GUUGGCCUCGGAUAUGUUCAAUCGUGUAGUGAUCCUUAGUACGCCCCGCGUAAUCCGACUUACGCCCAGCGUACGUAAGUCGGCUACAAAGGUUAUAAAAGUCGAUUUUCAGCUAACCAGGAGGGGGGAUUCGACUUACAACUUAGUUUAGUCGAUAUUAAACUUCUGUUAAGCCGUUUUGAGGGUUUAGAAGGUGGUCGGAAGGCCGUUAAGCUAACGGGAGCGGAGAUCGGAAGGAUUGGAGAGCGUAUACAUGUCGGUAAUCAUAUGGGUUGUUAACGUGACCAUGUUUAGCAUUCCAUUGUGUUACUAUUCUGUAUUUAGUUUCUGAUUUAGGUGUAAAAACCUUUUACUUUGUGUUUAUGAUUGAAUGAAACUUUGAUUAUUAGACUAAUUGCUAUAUUGAAUUGUUUGUUUAUGUUUAAUUUAUCUUGCCAAGCUUGUUAAAAGAUCCUUACGUGUUAAUGAUGAUUAUUUUCUGUUAAUUGUUAAGUGAAUUGAGUUGCAUGAACAUCUGCUUGAUUUGCUUGUCUCUUAUGAUUUUUGAUGACCAUCGAGAUUAUAAGACUAGAAAUAACGAAUGUGAAACUAGGAUUAACUUGAGAAUAAGUAAGUUAAUGUGUGAGCCUUGUUUGAUGACCAUCAACAAGAGGUUAAAUUGAAUUAAUAAUUCGAUUAACUAUAUUUACAAGUCUUGCUUGAUACGAACUGAACACUAGGAAGCAUGUUAGUUUAAUCAACUGAUCACUGUUUAAAUUGACUUGUUUGCUAAAGGAUUAGUUAUAGUGAACGCGAAUCUAAUCAUUUUAGGAAUCGGUGAACAUGAAUAAAUGAAUUUGUGUAUGCAAUUGUCUAUGUUUUUAAGGUGUAAUUUAUCUAAACCAAAGUACCUGAAGAGAUGUGCUUUCCUGUUAGUUUAUCGAGAGUUGUUAAUUGUUAGUUUGAGAUUUAUUAAACCAUUUUCUUUAUUAUUUUCGUGUGACCUGUAACCUAUAAUCAAAUAUAUUAAAUUAAUCCACCGUUCCCUGUGAUCGACACCCGACUUACCUAAGCUAUACUGUAAUCUGACUAGAUACACUGCCUAUAAGUGCAUAGAUAGUCUAAGUUUGUUAGGUUAUAAAUAUUAAAAUUAAUUGGUACUUUUGUGCACAUCAAGUUUUUGGCGCCAUUGCCGGGGAACGGUUUGUCAUUAAUUUAGUUUAUUUGAUUGUUCGUUAUUUGUUUUUAGUUAGUUUUUAUUUUUAGUUUGAUUUUCGAUGAUAUCAUUUCACUUGUCGAGAAGGUUCUUGUUGUUAUUUGCAGGAAUUUGGGAUUGUACACAUUGCUUGACUUUACUUUUUUCAUGGGUUUCGAGGAUGAAAGCGAUUAGGGAAUUCUUGACCUGCUUAGCCUACUACUUUGUUGAUUUGUCCAACUCAAUCCAUGAGGCGUAGUAUAGCAAGGCGUAUUAUGGUGGUUAAGUGGAAGACCGAGCUCUUGCUGUUCUUGACUAGUUAGGUCACUUCUUGUUCCGCUUUUAGUUAAAGGUGCAAGGAAAACAAAGGAAAUAUUCUAACGGGUCCCGAAAGUGGGUAUUUUCUCAAACCAAUUCUUGCAUGCAAAAGUUUUUGAUCAACCAUUGUUGUUUGAUCUUGACAAAGAUAAGUGAUUAUGACAUCUCAAUUUUUUUUAUCAGUCAUCGUGAAGUCAUCAUUAGCUAAAGAAAUUACAAAGAAAAAAAAUAAUUAAGUAUUAAGUCCCUUGAUUAAAUAAUUCAAAAGAAUAGGAAGUUAAAUUAAAGAAAAAGGAAAAUUUUCAAAUACAAUUACGCCCCACGUAAGUUUUAUUACGCCAUGCAUAACAAACCCUGGAUCGCGUAUGGAUUUUCAAGGAGAUGGGGUUACGCCCCGCGUAACUUAUCGUUAUGCCCCGCGUAAUACGACGACUAGGUUAUAUCUUUUGACUCUUGACUUUUGUGUUAUUCUUUCAACCCUCUCCUUUCUUCGCAUACGCUGUGACGACGACUUAUCUCCAAGAAUCUCGAUUUUUCAUCUUUUCCUGUUAAAUCCAACACACAAGUAAGUAUUUCGGAUACUCAAUGGCUUGGAUUUGUGUUUAAUUUGAUGAAAUAAGAAGCAUUUAGCUUUUGCUCGAAAUCUAGGGUUAAUAGUGUUCUUGAAUUAGGGUCGAUUUCGCAAUGUUAUGUUCCGAUUACCACUUAAAUAGACCGAUUUCUAUAAAUUAACUACCAUAGGACCUAAUUUGGUCUAAAUCUUGUUCCACACCCAUCGAUUUGACCUCAGGGACGAACGCCAAGCGUAACCUGUUGACUUCGAUUUCUUUGACUAUUCUAUGCAGAUUCCUGUUAAAUGUUUACUAAUUUUGAAUAGAUAAAAGAUUACGAAGGAUUGAUUUUUAAGGGUGGUCCCGAUUUUAUUUCUACUGCCUUUGGACCAUGCAAUGUUAAAAAUUAAUUGUGUUGUUUCCCCUGCUGUGUUUAUUUGGAUAUGGUUUACGAUUUUAGCACAAGCAAGCGAACCAGGACACAUGACUCGUGAACCUGGACGUACGCCCAGCGUACGCUGGAUGUACGCCCAGCGUACUGCCCCUAUCCAGUUUCAUUUUUUUUUUUGGUUUAAAAAUCUAUUAAUGUUGUUAUAUUUUGUUUGGUUUGGUGUUUGUGUUAAUAUGUGCAGAUUAUGGUCCGAAAGACGCAAAGGACCAACCCACCCGAGGAUGUGACCGAUCAUCGUUUUUUACAAUUUCCGCAAACACUGAACGAUGCAACCCGGGCACGUUAUGUCAACAACUUGAGCUUGCUUCUCACCAAAGAGAUUGAUAUAGCACCAUCAUUCGACUGGGAGUUGGCUACCAAGACUGGACUUGCUGCAUUGAUCCAGGAAUUUUUGCAAUUCACACACUCGGACGUGAGUGGUGUGGAUUUGUUCGUGUGUCAGGGAUGGGCACGUUUGUUCAGGAUCCAGGAGCCUGUUUAUCAGGAGUUUUUGUUGGAGCUCUACGCUACAGUUUCCUAUGAUCCUAAGAAGGCACUCGAUGACAGGACAACCUUUGCUUUCAGACUGGGAGGAAUGAGCCGGGAAUGCAGCGUGAUAGAGCUUGCGAUUCGGGUGGGUAUUUACACAGCCGAUGAGACGAGGAGUGUCCACUUCCCGACAUUCCUUGCUGACUAUCUCACGGACCGGCCGGAAGACUAUAACGAGAACACUUUUCGGGCCGAGAUUACGGGAGGAGUUUAUACACCAUCUACCGCACGAGGGGGGAUGAUUCGGUCUACUACAUACCGAAUGUUGCACCGGUUGAUUUCUAUGUCUCUCCUGCAUCACAAGAAUAGUGAGAGAGUGCCUUCGACGGACUUGUAUUUCCUAUGGGCACUAGUUACUCCAGGGAGGCACCUGAACCUUCCAGUUGCGUUAGCUGCAUAUUUGGGACGGAGGGCCAGGGGACUUCGGGGGGAUAGCCCGAUAUGCGGAGGGCAUUUUAUCACGCGGUUAGCUCGAUCAUAUCAGUUGCUGACGCGUGAGAUCACGAGAUCGAUGGUGUUUCACGACAUGAGGCCGAUGAGUCUUCAGCUGUUAGAGUCGAUGCGUGUAUUAGAGCGGGGUGGAGAUGGUGUCUUGAGGGUACGAGCAGAUGAUGUGGCAGAUGAGGAGGGUGCCGCUGAGCCACAGUCGAGACGGGUCCAGCGGCGUAGACCUGCUCCUCGGGGAGCGCAGCAGGGACCUGAGCCGGAGAUUGAUAUGCGCUACCUGGCUCAGGGUAUUGACCGUCUUGACAUGAGGGUCCAGAACCUUAGCGAGUAUGUUGCACAUGUGGACAGGCAACAGCAGUGGUAUGGGGAUGCGUUGAACGCAUUCUUUGCCCACCAGGGGUUUCAGUAUUCGGUUCCCUUUCCACCACCAUUCCAGUCACGAUUUGAUGGGGCCGGUACUUCUGGGACACAGCCACAUGAUGAUGGAGAUGACGAGUGAUCCUUUUUAUUUUGUUUAUUUUUUUUUUUUGUUUUGUGUUAUUUUUAGUUUAGUUUAGUUUUUUUUAGUAUUUGGUAUGUAAUUAAACUUUGAUUUAGUUUGUUUUACUUUUGUUUUCCAUGUUGAUGCUCUUUGGUUGUUUAGAUUUCUGCAGAAUUUUCGCCCUUAGAAAGCUGGCAGUAAGUUCAGCAGCUAGGUCCGACUGUUGCUAGAGAGAGCGGUAUGAGAGUUGAAGAUUAUAGUCGAGACCCACAAUUUGUCAUAAGUGUGGGGUGCAUAUUUAUUUCGUGAGCGAUCGUUUUGAAGAUUGGCAUUGUUACGAUGUUUUGACUCUUAUGAUAUGGAUGAGCAGUUCCCAUACCAUAGAGUUUUAUUUCGACGCGAGGAAGAAGUAUCGUCCCGGCUGCCACGACAUGGUUGACACUUUCCUAUGUUAUGGGGGAUUUUUCAUCGCGAGUAGAGGAUGUCAUUCUUGACGAGACGACGUGGUCGACACUUUCCCACGUCAUGGUUACUAUACAUUGCAUUUAUUUGCAAUAUUUUGCACCACAUUUUUGAAGAUGGCGGUCUUGAUUUUAUUUUUCGGCAAAUUCAGAGGCAGCAGUUCCAGUUUUCAGUCUUUCGGCGAUAUUUGAAGCAACUUGUAGCAGCCCCAUUCGAUCUCGCCACAACUACCCAGGGGAGUCUGUUCCUUUUUCUCCCUUUUUAUGUUCUUAAUUUGUUUUAGCAUACAAUGAGGGCAUUGUAUGAAAUAAGUGUGGGGUAGGGGGUCGGUAAAAGUAAAUUAAAAUUAAGAGAAAAAAGAAAUUGCUAGAAUUUAGAAAAUUUAAAAAUUUUAAAACUUGAAAUAAUAGUUUAAUUUAGAAAAUCUAGUGAUAAUUUAAAUUUUGCUAAUAUUGUAUGAAAUGAUCCGAUGAGAACUCAAAUGUUUAGUUGAGCCAAUAUACGUUAUAGUGCAUUUGUGGCCUCCCUUAUUUUAGUGAAAUCAUGGAACAAAAACAUAACCCCGCUUGGUUUGAGGGAUGCAAUAUGUUUAGCAGCCUAAACCUGAAAUGUAUCCAGGAAAAUUAUUAUCAUUAACCAAUAAAGGUUGAGGUUGAGCGCCUCUGCCUAAGCAUGUAGGUUUUGAGUGAAAAAAGUGAGAUACAUGUAAAAAAAGAGAGAGAAUUACAAGAAAAGUUUGAAGAAUUUUGGAGCAAAUAAAGUGAAGAUCAAAAAGAUCAAAAUUCCAAGAAAUCCAAAAAGUUGAAGAUAACAAAAAUCAAACAACAAGGUGGUGAAUUCAAAGAAAUCGAAGAUCAAAUUAUCAAGAAAAUGAAGAAUUCCAAAAAAGAGCUCCAUAGUGGUAUCGAAAAAAUUGUAAUUCUAGAUUAUGUAUGCUUAGGUUGCUCAACUAAAAAUACCUUGAGGUUAGGAGGUUUUCUGCGGAUGGAUUCGGAGGGUUGCAUAAAAUGAGCAUUGUUCGGAAAAAGUGGGCGAGUGUUUACGAAGAUUGUGAGUAUUUAAAAUAUGGGGGGGGGUACUUUAGGAAAAUUUUAGACACAAAAGCAUGCGUUGAGGUCUUGGCAUAAUGGAUGAGUUUUAAAUGGAUUGUUUAAUGUAGUAUUGGUAAAAAUUAAAAGUAAAUUUGCUUGAGGGCAAGCAAAGGCUAAGUCUGGGGUAUUUUGAUAUGUGUAUUUAUAGAUAUAAUUUUAUGCACUUUAUCUUAAUAUUUUGGCCUUAUUUAUUCUCUUAUAGAACUAAAAAGUACUCAUAAUGCUUUGAAUUAUGUUUUGCAACUAUUCGUUGGCAAUAAAGCACAAAAGAAAAGACUGAAGCGGAAACCGGACUUAGAAGCUAAAAGAAAUUAAAAAUGCUAGAUUAGAUGAUUACGCCCCAUGUCCAUAGCAAUUACGCCUCGCGUAGUGAUCCUUAGUACGCCCCGCGUAAUCCGACUUACGUCCAGCGUACGUAAGUCGGCUAAAAAGGUUAUAAAAGUCGAUUUUCAGCUAACCAGGAGGGGGAUUCGACUUACAACUUAGUUUAGUCGAUAUUAAACUUUUGUUAAGCCGUUUGAGGGUUUAGAAGGCGGCCGGAAGGCCGUUAAGCUAACGGGAGCGGAGAUCGGAAGGAUUGGAG